rnacentral:lncRNA from 1 species
UUUGGCGCCGUUGCCGGGGAGGCAAAUCGAGAAGCAAGAACGAUCAUGAAGAUCAAAUCAAAUUUUGGAUGUCCGGAGUGAACGUACUCCGGUAGUAAGUUUUUAUUUUUAUUUUUAUUAAUUUUUCUUAUUUUGAUAAUUUCUAGUUAAUAAUUUUGUAGUUAUUAAAUUCUGAAAUUUGAAAUUCGAAAUUUAAAAUUCAAAAAAAAAAU